rnacentral:rRNA from 1 species
CAGUAGCCGCGGGAAUACGGAGGGGGCUAGCGUUGUUCGGAAUUACUGGGCGUAAAGCACACGUAGGCGGCUUGGUAAGUUAGAGGUGAAAGCCUGGAGCUCAACUCCAGAAUUGCCUUUAAGACUGCCGAGCUAGCAGGUGAGAGAGGUAAGUGGAAUUCCGAGUGUAGAGGUGAAAUUCGUAGAUAUUCGGAAGAACACCAGUGGCGAAGGCGGCUUACUGGCUCAUACUGGACGCUGAGGUGCGAAAGCGUGGGGAGCGAACAGGAUUAGAUACCCCUGUAGUCCCUGUCUCUUAUAC